rnacentral:rRNA from 1 species
CCCAAGAGAUCGGGAUAACACCUGGAAACAGAUGCUAAUACCGGAUAACAACAGAUGAUGCCUAUCAACUGUUUAAAAGAUGGUUCUGCUAUCACUCUUGGAUGGACCUGCGGUGCAUUAGCUAGUUGGUAGGGUAACGGCAUACCAAGGCGAUGAUGCAUAGCCGAGUUGAGAGACUGAUCGGCCACAUUGGGACUGAGACACGGCCCAAACUCCUACGGGAGGCAGCAGCU